AUUGAACGCUGGCGGCAAGCCUAACACAUGCAAGUCGAACGAGUGGCGGACGGGUGAGUAAUGUCUGGGAAACUGCCCGAUGGAGGGGGAUAACUACUGGAAACGGUAGCUAAUACUGCAUACCACCGGAUGUGCCUAGAUGGGAUUAGCUAGUAGGUGGGGUAACGGCUCACGUAGGCGACGAUCCCUAGCUGGUCUGAGAGGAUGACCGGCCACACUGGAACGGAGACACGGUCCAGACUCCUACGGGAGGCAGCAGUGGGGAAUAUUGCCCAAGGGGCGCAAGCCUGAUGCAGCCAUGCCGCGUGUAUGAAGAAGGCCUUCGGGUUGUAAAGUACUUUCAGCGAUGAGGCGUUACUCGCAGAAGAAGCACCGGCUAACUCCGUGCCAGCAGCCGUGGUAAUAC
rnacentral:rRNA from 1 species